GAAUAUUGGACAAUGGGCGAAAGCCUGAUCCAGCAAUGCCGCGUGAGUGAUGAAGGCCUUAGGGUUGUAAAGCCCUUUUACCCGGGAUGAUAAUGACAGUACCGGGAGAAUAAGCUCCGGCUAACUCCGUGCCAGCAGCCGCGGUAAUACGGAGGGAGCUAGCGUUGUUCGGAAUUACUGGGCGUAAAGCGCACGUAGGCGGCUAUUCAAGUCGGGGGUGAAAGCCCGGGGCUCAACCCCGGAACUGCCCUCGAAACUAGGUAGCUAGAAUCUUGGAGAGGCGAGUGGAAUUCCGAGUGUAGAGGUGAAAUUCGUAGAUAUUCGGAAGAACACCAGUGGCGAAGGCGACUCGCUGGACAAGUAUUGACGCUGAGGUGCGAAAGCGUGGGGAGCAAACAG
rnacentral:rRNA from 1 species